rnacentral:rRNA from 1 species
CACGUAGGGCGCAAGCGUUGUCCGGAAUUAUUGGGCGUAAAGAGCUUGUAGGUGGUUUGUCGCGUCUGCUGUGAAAAUCCGAGGCUCAACCUCGGACUUGCAGUGGGUACGGGCAGACUAGAGUGUGGUAGGGGAGACUGGAAUUCCUGGUGUAGCGGUGGAAUGCGCAGAUAUCAGGAGGAACACCGAUGGCGAAGGCGGCAUCCUGGACCGGCAUUGACGCUGAGGCGCGAAAGCCAGGGGAGCAAACAGG